rnacentral:lncRNA from 1 species
CCCCUAGGGUUGAGUGGGUAGUUGGUUGAAUAGUAUAAUCUAACGGUUGAAAAUGAUCAAAGACGUAGAUCUAAUGGUAAAAAACUUAUAAGUACCAAGUAGUUGGUACUUUUACAAGCCCCAUAGCCGGACUCUGUAUAUAUUGUGACACUCCAAUAAUCCCACAUCGGAUGGGAAUGGGGUUGUCAUUGGGUUUAUAAGAGACUUAGACACUAGUAAUAAUAACUAGGCUUAAGCAUUUUGGGUCGGUUGUUGGGCCCAACGAGUUAUUGUUGCUAGUGGGCUGGGUCGUUACAUUUGGCAUUAGAGCCGGUUCACUGGCUGGACAUGUGUGGCGAGUCUUGGCUGAGCCAGGGUCUGGAUGACGGGCUAGCAAGAUGAGUCUCACAUCGCCUGGUGAUCUUGGGCUGUGUGUGUGAUUGGACUGACGAGGACGUCAGGGCCUUAACGGCGGGAGUCUAUGACACUCCAAUAAUCCCAUAUCGGAUGGGAAUGGGGUUGUCAUUGGAUUUAUAAGAGACUUAGACACUAGUAAUAAUAACUGGGC